ACAGUAAAGAUAUGUAGGUUUGGCUUGGUAAAGUAAAGAUAUGUAGGUUUGGCUUGGUACAGUAAAGAUAUGUAGGUUUGGCUUGGUAAAGUAAAGGUAUGUAGGUUUGGCUUGGUACAGUAAAGAUAUGUAGGUUUGGCUUGGUACAGUAAAGGUAUGUAGGUUUGGCUUGGUAAAGUAAAGGUAUGUAGGUUUGGCUUGGUACAGUAAAGGUAUGUAGGUUUGGAUUGGUAAAGUAAAGGUAUGUAGGUUUGGCUUGGUACAGUAAAGGUAUGUAGGUUUGGCUUGGUAAAGUAAAGGUAUGUAGGUUUGGCUUGGUAAAGUAAAGGUAUGUAGGUUUGGCUUGGUAAAGUAAAGGUAUGUAGGUUUGGCUUGGUAAAGUAAAGGUAUGUAGGUUUGGCUUGGUAAAGUAAAGGUAUGUAGGUUUGGCUUGGUACAGUAAAGGUAUGUAGGUUUGGCUUGGUAAAGUAAAGGUAUGUAGGUUUGGCUUGGUACAGUAAAGAUAUGUAGGUUUGGCUUGGUAAAGUAAAGUUAUGUAGGUUUGGCUUGGUAAAGUAAAGAUAUGUAGGUUUGGCUUGGUAAAGUAAAGGUAUGUAGGUUUGGCUUGGUACAGUAAAGGUAUGUAGGUUUGGCUUGGUAAAGUAAAGGUAUGUAGGUUUGGCUUGGUACAGUAAAGGUAUGUAGGUUUGGCUUGGUAAAGUAAAGGUAUGUAGGUUUGGCUUGGUACAGUAAAGGUAUGUAGGUUUGGCUUGGUACAGUAAAGGUAUGUAGGUUUGGCUUGGUACAGUAAAGAUAUGUAGGUUUGGCUUGGUACAGUAAAGGUAUGUAGGUUUGGCUUGGUAAAGUAAAGUUAUGUAGGUUUGGCUUGGUACAGUAAAGUUAUGUAGGUUUGGCUUGGUACAGUAAAGGUAUGUAGGUUUGGCUUGGUAAAGUAAAGGUAUGUAGGUUUGGCUUGGUACAGUAAAGAUAUGUAGGUUUGGCUUGGUAAAGUAAAGGUAUGUAGGUUUGGAUUGGUACAGUAAAGGUAUGUAGGUUUGGCUUGGUACAGUAAAGAUAUGUAGGUUUGGCUUGGUACAGUAAAGGUAUGUAGGUUUGGCUUGGUACAGUAAAGAUAUGUAGGUUUGGCUUGGUAAAGUAAAGUUAUGUAGGUUUGGCUUGGUAAAGUAAAGGUAUGUGGGUUUGGCUUGGUA